CAGUCUGUGCCUACAACAUAGAUUAUGAUAGAUCUCCAGGACUAAAACUAAAUUGCAAUCAGUAUACCACAAGUAUUAUAAUAAAAGCAUCUAAUCUGCUUCAGUGGUCAGAACUGGGUGAAUCCUCUCAAACUUGAAUCAGGAACUAGGCAUACUUAAUGAGCGUCAAGCUGAUACAGUAGAUGUACAGAAGAAUUUAUACACAAGGAAGUGAAAAGUGAUGUAAAAGGCAACUAAUACUUCCAUCUACCAUUGUUAAACAAGAAUCUGCAAAUGCCCAUAAUUGCAAUAAUCUUGAUAUAUACAUUUUUGGCUUUAUAUGCAAUUGUUAGGUUUGAUAAAUAAAUUAUUUCUCAAAAUUU